CCUACGGGGUGCUGCAGUGGGGAAUAUUGGACAAUGGGCGAAAGCCUGAUCCAGCCAUGCCGCGUGUGUGAAGAAGGCCUUCGGGUUGUAAAGCACUUUCAGUGGGGAAGAAAGCCUUGGGGCUAAUACCCUCGAGGAAGGACAUCACCCACAGAAGAAGCACCGGCUAACUCCGUGCCAGCAGCCGCGGUAAUACGGAGGGUGCGAGCGUUAAUCGGAAUUACUGGGCGGAAAGCGCGCGUAGGCGGUCUGAUAAGCCGGUUGUGAAAGCCCCGGGCUCAACCUGGGAACGGCAUCCGGAACUGUCAGGCUAGAGUGCAGGAGAGGAAGGUAGAAUUCCCGGUGUAGCGGUGAAAUGCGUAGAGAUCGGGAGGAAUACCAGUGGCGAAGGCGGCCUUCUGGACUGACACUGACGCUGAGGUGCGAAAGCGUGGGUAGCAAACAGGAUUAGAUACCCGAGUAGUC
rnacentral:rRNA from 1 species